rnacentral:rRNA from 1 species
GGAUUCCCUAGUACGGCGAGUGAACCGGGAAAAGCUCAAAUUUGAAAUCUGGCUGUCUUCGAUAGUCCGAGUUGUAAUCUAUAGAAGCGUUUUCCGUGCUGAACUGUGUCUAAGUCCCUUGGAACAGGGUAUCAAAGAGGGUGAUAAUCCCGUACUUGACACAACAAUCAGUGCUCUGUGAUACGUUCUCUACGAGUCGAGUUGUUUGGGAAUGCAGCUCAAAAUGGGUGGUAAAUUCCAUCUAAAGCUAAAUAUUGGCGAGAGACCGAUAGCGAACAAGUACCGUGAGGGAAAGAUGAAAAGCACUUUGGAAAGAGAGUUAAACAGUACGUGAAAUUGUUGAAAGGGAAACGAUUGAAGUCAGUCGUGUUCAUUGGAUUCAGCUAGUUCUUCUAGUCUACUUCCUUUGAACGGGUCAACAUCAGUUUUGUCCGGUGGAUAAAGGAUUUAGGAAUGUAACUCCCUCGGGAGUGUUAUAGCCUAGGUUCACAUACACUGGGUGAGACUGAGGACUGCAGCUCGCCUUUUGGCCGGGGUUCGCCCACGUUCGAGCUUAGGAUGUUGACAUAAUGGCUUUAAACGACCCGUCUUAAAACAACGGGCCCGCG